ensembl:misc_RNA Metazoa_SRP Metazoan signal recognition particle RNA
GUCGGGCUGUAGUCCCAGCUACUCGGGAGGCUGAGGAUGGAGGAUCGCUUGAGCCCAGGAGUUCUGGGCUGUAGUGCGCUAUGCCGAUUGGGAGUCCACACUAAGUUCGGCAUCAAUAUGAUGACCUCCUGGGAAUGGGGAACCACCAGGCUGCCUAAGGAGGAGUCAGCCGGCCCAGGUUGGAAAUGGAGUAGGUCAAAACUCCCGUUCUGAUCCGUAGUGGAUCGAGCCUGUGAAUAGCCACUGCACUCUAGCCUGGGCAACAUAGCGAGACCCUGUCUUAA